rnacentral:tRNA from 1 species
GCCCUUGUAGUGUAAUGGAUAGCACAUCAGGCUUCUAUCCUGAGAGUCCGGGUUCGAGUCCUGGCAAGGGCG